GAUGAAGAACGCAGCGAAAUGCGAUAAGUAGUGUGAAUUGCAGAAUUCAGUGAAUCAUCGAAUCUUUGAACGCACAUUGCGCCCCUUGGUAUUCCGAGGGGCAUGCCUGUUCGAGCGUCAUAUUAACCACUCCCGCUUGCGGGGUCUUGGGCUUCGCCUCCGGGCGGGCCUUAAAAUCAGUGGCGGUGCCGUCGGGCUCUACGCGUAGUAAAUUUUCUCGCGAUAGGGUCCCGGUGGAUGCUUGCCAACAACCCCCAACUUCUUAAGGUUGACCUCGGAUCAGGUAGGGAUACCCGCUGAACUUAAGCAUAUCAAUAAGCGGAGGA
rnacentral:misc_RNA from 1 species